rnacentral:rRNA from 1 species
CGUGCAAGAAUGAAGGCCCUCGUGUCGUAAACUGCUUUUAUGAGUGAAGAAUAUGACGGUAACUCAUGAAUAAGCACCGGCUAACUACGUGCCAGCAGCCGCGGUCAUACGUAGGGUGCAAGCAUUAUCCGGAGUGACUGGGCGUAAAGAGUUGCGUAGGUGGUUUGUUAAGUGAAUAGUGAAAUCUGGGGGCUCAACCUUACAGACUAUUAUUCAAACUGGCAAACUCGAGAAUGGUAGAGGUAACUGGAAUUUCUUGUGUAGGAGUGAAAUCCGUAGAUAUAAGAAGGAACACCAAUGGCGUAGGCAGGUUACUGGACCAUUUCUGACACUAAUGCACGAAAGCGUGGGGAGCGAACCGGAUUAGAUACCCGGGUAGUCCACGCCGUAAACGAUGGAUACUAGCUGUUGGAGGUAUCGACCCCUUCAGUAGCGAAGCUAACGCGUUAAGUAUCCCGUCUGUGGAGUACGGUCGCAAGACUAAAACAUAAAGGAAUUGACGGGGAUCAGCACAAGCGGUGGAUCGUGUUCUUUAAUUCGAUGAUAAACGAAGAACCUUACCAGGGCUUGACAUCCAGGGAAGCAUCACGAAAGUGAAGUGUGCCUUUUGGAACCCUGUGACAGGUGUUGCAUGGCCGUCGUCAGCUCGUGUCGUGAGAUGUUUGGUUAAGUCCAUUAACGAGCGCAACCCUUGUGAAUAGUUGUAUUUUUCUAUUCAGACUGCUCUAGUAAUAGGGAGGAAGGAGGGGAUGAUGUCAGGUCAGUAUUACCCUUACGUCCUGGGCUAGAAACACGAUACAAUGGCCGGUACAAUGCGCAGCGAAGCAGCAAUGUGGAGCAAAUCGCACCAAAGCCGGUCCCAGUUCGGAUUGCACUCUGCAACUCGAGUGCAUGAAGUUGGAAUCGCUAGUAAUCGCGGAUCAGCAUGCCGCGGUGAAUACGUUCCCGGGCCUUGUACACACCGCCCGUCACACCAUGGGAGUUGGCUUUACCCGAAGGCGCUGCGCUAACUCGCAAGAGAGGCAGGCGACCACGGUAGGGUCAGCGACUGGGGUGAAGUCGUAACAAGGUA